UUUUGUCUUUGUUACCAGUCAUCCAGGAACACUGGGCUGAUUUUACUGAGAAGGCAGCUGAUGGGAAGAUGGUCAAGUGUUGGGUAAAGCUUGGACUUGGCUGCAGGAAACCCAAAUCCAGCCUCAGACAGUUCCUUAGCUUUGGGACCCUGGGCAGGUCCCUUAAACCUCUGGAAAAUGAGGGGUCUGUUUUCUAUGUGGCCUUGCACAAAUUACUUGAACAUAGAUCUCAUCUGUACAGUGCCUGUGUAAAGCAGAUGGCCAAAUCAAAUGAUCUUCCAAGGUCCUUUCUGUUUCUAAGAUCUGUGUGAUUCUGGGCCCAUCUUUUAUUGAAGUGGAUGGUGCCAAUGCGGCCAGGUUUGCUUUUUCUCCCAAUCAGUUUACCACAAUAAAAAGUAUUCCAGAGCACAGACUGUACUAUUCACAGUUGAUGCUGUGCAUUCUGUCCCCACAGCUGGAGAAAUGGCAGGAAAACUCAUGUCCCACUAAAAGGUGGAGGGAUUUGGGAGGAAAGUCAGUAUCGUUGGGACAAGCAUAAGAUAUACUAUGUGUUAGGCACAAAAAACCGCCUCUUUGAUAAAUGGCCGAUAAAAUUUUAACAGUUCCACGCAAAGGGGCCCCUAACAUUGUGAGAUUUGAUGUUUGGGUUUAACUAGAACACAGAAAAUGGAAGGAAGUUACUGCAUUGGUCCAAGCAGGUGAUGAGAGUCUGUUCAGUAGCGGUGGUGGAGACAGUUUGGUCAUUCACUGGACAUGAGAGUAAAAUCAGGAGGAACUUAGAGAUAAGGCAUGGUUUUAAACAUGGAGGACUGAAUGGCGAUUGAUGCCUCUGACAGAUUGUGGGGUCACGAGGAGCAAGUUUAAGGGAAAAGAUGAAUAGGUGGCUCAGUUUUAGACUUAACUGUUGAGUUUGAGAUACUAGUAGGGCAUUCACUUGGGGAUGGAGGGAGCUGAACUAAUGGGUUUGGGACUUGGGAGAAAAGUCAAGACUAGAGAAAGAUUUGGGUGUCUUCUGUUUAGAGGUGAUGACUGAAGCCCCGGAGAGAGUGAAAUCACUAAGAUUUGGCCCAGGUCAGACCCUUUCUUGGUCAGCUACCUCCAUAAGAGGUUGGAAGAGGAAUGAGGAGCCAGGGAAGAAGCUAUGGAAGGGUCAGAGUGUGGUGUCUCAAAAGCCUAGGGAAGAAAGAAUAUUUGGAGGCAAGUAUUUGCUGUCCCAAUAGAAGCAGCUGAGGGAAGGUUUAAGCCAACCCAUUCCAGGCCUGGUUUAGAGUGAGGGAUAUAUCUCAAAAUACAGUUAAAUGAGGUUUGAGCAUCUGUUAUUGUUGCAAAGAGAUGUAGUCUGUGCAGAAUCAGCAGGGCUUCAUCCGAAAGAGCUGUUUCGCUGGGCCAGGAGAUUAACACUGUCCGUGCCUAAGUUGUCUUUUCCCUUUGUGCCUGGUCAGAGCUUCCCAUUUAAAUUCCCUGAACAAACCUGCUUCCUUGGGCUCUUUCUCUUGCAGCAGACUGCUCUGGCCCUUUAAAUAUCCCAGUUAUCUCAAAGCAAGAUGCAUCAUUUUCUUCUGAGCUUUUGGCAUCCAGUUUCCUGGGUGUCUUUAGAUAAGUCCUUCCUGUGUUGUGUGCCUGUCCCCCAGCCAGAGGGCCAGCCAGGCAAUAAGCAUUGUCCGUUUCAUCCUGGGGAGCUAUGGGGAUCAAUGAUGGCAUGACAGCCGCUUAAAACAGCUCAAGAUUUGGAGCAGCAGAGGUUAAAACUUGGCCUAGGAAGCCAACAGUGGGGUCAAAUUCAGCAGCCAGGGUCACUCAGCUGAUAGGAAUAAGGUGGGACCCCUGGAAGGCAUUUCUAAGCCCAGAAGGACUGAAUUGUCUUGCUGCUUUAAACAUUUCUACAGAAUUUCUCUUUACACUUGAAAGGUAAGAUCCAUCUUGACCUUGUGUGUUUUCCCUGUCCCCUGCUGCUGGGGUGACAGGAAUGUAAUUUUAUCAUGGAGGAGCAAGACCCCAGGGCCUAAGGAGAGGAACUUCCUUGCCCUUUCCCCCUGCUACCCCUUACCUCAGCUUUCACUCACGCUGGAUUCCCAGCCUGAAAUCUCUAUAACAGGCUCCUGUCAAAUGCUCAGUGUCAAUUCUAACAGCAGUACUUGACACUCGUAGAACUCCUUAAGGUUUAUAAAGCACUUUCUUCACAACAACCCGUUUUAGUGAGCAGUGCAAGCAGCAGCUGCUCUAUUUCACAGCUGAAGAAACAGGGUCAGAAGGUGAAGAGUUAGCUAAGGAAGGUCACCCAAGCAGGGAGGGUCACAAUUAGAGCUCAGAGCCAGGUCUUGUGACCCAAAGAUUUUCCAGUGUCCUUUCUAACACACAUCGGGACUGCUAGGAUGUCAGAUAAGUCCUAGAACCUAAGUAACCCCUGAGAAUGGGAGCACAGUGUUCCUGGGAGCCAAGGCACUUCUGCUGCCUCACCUGCCUUUCUGUUCUCCCUGUGAACCCUAAAGGCCUUUGUAUUGCCAGGAGCCACCUCAGCUCCCAACGUCACCAUUGGUGGAUUGUUUCUAGGUGGUGCUUCCUUUCCCUGGGAGCCCUAUAAGCAGCCAUGGGAGACUAGACUUUCCCUAGAAGUUGAGCCGGAUGCCUCUGCCACCUUUAGCCAUGCAAAUUCUUCUACCCCAACAGGAGGGAACGAGUGGCUUGGGAAGAAGGCCGCAAGCUAAAACUGGUUUCCCUCACAGUGUCCUGAGCUCCCCAGCCCUUGAAGCUGGAUUUGGGAAGAGGGAUCUGGAGAGGAGCCCUCUGACCCCAGGUGGUGAUCUUUGUGCUGUUGCAUCAGAAUUGAGAUUGCUUUCAACAGCAAAUCUAGCCAGGUUACCCUGGCCCAGCUACUGGAGAUUCAAAGACAGAAGUGGUAGAUAUUCUCUGACCUCAGAACUUCUACAGAGUGUGAUAUGUGGACCCUUCUCCACUAAUGCUGUCCUCCAGUGUCUCAGCCUGGCAUGGAGGAGAUGCCAGCAGACCAUAAACAACUCUGGCGACUUCUGCCUGCCAAGACAGAAAGGCUUCAAGUAUAGGCCUGUAUCCUGUCCCAGGACCAGCCUAGCCACGUUCAGAGAGGUUAUUCAUGUAAGCCAAAAGAUGCCAAAUUCUUCAGCCACAGCACCUCGAGACCAAGCAUCCCAAGCCCUGGUUUUGAGCCCCAGCUACAGUGCUGUGUGCCUUUGAGCAGUUCAGCCAACCUUGCAACCUUGCUGGGUCUUCUUUUGAUCCUGUCCAAUGGGGAUAAUAUUGCCAAUGCUACUUCUCAAGGGGGUGAUGAAAAAAAAUUCUAAACCAUAAUGUGUUAUAUAAAUGUGACCUGUUAUUAUUGGAAGGAGUGAUACACUAAUAUUGAAAGAUGGAAGGGAGAGGGAAUGAUUGAUGAAGUUUAAAGCCCUAGAAGAUGUGGGUUCAAGGAUUCUCUUCUCCCUCCCCGUCUUUCAGGCUGUGUAUUUCUUGACUCUCGUUUCUGUCUCAUUUCUGUAUUUGUGUCCAUAGUGUGUUGCACACUUCCUGGCACUAAGGCACUUAAUAAAUACUUGUUAAUUGAU